rnacentral:tRNA from 1 species
GGGGUAUAGCUCAGUUGGUAGAGCACCGCCUUUGCACGGCGGCGGUCAGCGGUUCGAAUCCGCUUACCUCC